rnacentral:rRNA from 1 species
AGUGGGCUUACUAAUACAUGCAAGUCGAGCGGACAGAUGGGAGCUUGCUCCCUGAUGUUAGCGGCGGACGGGUGAGUAACACGUGGGUAACCUGCCUGUAAGACUGGGAUAACUCCGGGAAACCGGGGCUAAUACCGGAUGGUUGUUUGAACCGCAUGGUUCAAACAUAAAAGGUGGCUUCGGCUACCACUUACAGAUGGACCCGCGGCGCAUUAGCUAGUUGGUGAGGUAACGGCUCACCAAGGCAACGAUGCGUAGCCGACCUGAGAGGGUGAUCGGCCACACUGGGACUGAGACACGGCCCAGACUCCUACGGGAGGCAGCAGUAGGGAAUCUUCCGCAAUGGACGAAAGUCUGACGGAGCAACGCCGCGUGAGUGAUGAAGGUUUUCGGAUCGUAAAGCUCUGUUGUUAGGGAAGAACAAGUACCGUUCGAAUAGGGCGGUACCUUGACGGUACCUAACCAGAAAGCCACGGCUAACUACGUGCCAGCAGCCGCGGUAAUACGUAGGUGGCAAGCGUUGUCCGGAAUUAUUGGGCGUAAAGGGCUCGCAGGCGGUUUCUUAAGUCUGAUGUGAAAGCCCCCGGCUCAACCGGGGAGGGUCAUUGGAAACUGGGGAACUUGAGUGCAGAAGAGGAGAGUGGAAUUCCACGUGUAGCGGUGAAAUGCGUAGAGAUGUGGAGGAACACCAGUGGCGAAGGCGACUCUCUGGUCUGUAACUGACGCUGAGGAGCGAAAGCGUGGGGAGCGAACAGGAUUAGAUACCCUGGGUAGUCCAA